rnacentral:misc_RNA from 1 species
ACGAGUUAGGGUCUUCUAGGCCCGACCUCCCAACCCUAUGUUUAUUGAACCUCUGUUGCUUCGGCGGGCCCGUCUCACGACCGCCGGAGGCGUCGCCGCGAGGCGCCCCUCUGGCCAGUGCCCGCCGACGGCCAACCCCUUCAAAACUCUUGAAUCAAUCGUGUCAUGAUGUCUAAGUCUAUGAUUUAAAUUAAAGCA